UACGGAGGGGGCAAGCGUUAUUCGGAAUCACUGGGCUUAAAGGGCGCGUAGGCGGGCCGCCAGGUCCGGGGUGAAAGCCUCCAGCUCAACUGGAGAAGUGCCUUGGAUACCGGCGGCCUCGAGGGAGGUAGGGGCGUGCGGAACUUCGGGUGGAGCGGUGAAAUGCGUAGAUAUCCGAAGGAACACCGGUGGCGAAAGCGGCGCGCUGGAUCUCUUCUGACGCUGAGGAGCGAAAGCGUGGGUAGCGAACAGG
rnacentral:rRNA from 1 species